rnacentral:lncRNA from 1 species
UUUUUAGUUUUGAUGUAUUUAUUUUUAGUCUUUCCCUUCCACUCUUUUUGUAAUAACUUUGUAAAAAGACUUGGGGAAUAUUAGUAAAAGGGUGUGGGAGGAGAUUAUGUUGUUUGCAUAAGUCAAUGGGUAGAAAUCAUGCCUAUGGGAUUUCAAUAUUGCAAAUCAUCUAGAUAUUAUGCAUAUAGGACUUUGACAUUGCAAAUCACUUAGAAAUCAUACCUAUAGGACAUUAACAUUGCAAAUCACUUAGAAAUCAUGCCUAUAGGACUUUAAUAUUACAUACCUCUCAGAAAUCAUGCCUAUAGGAUUUUGUAUUGCAAGCAUAAUAGAGACCAUGCCUAUAGGAAAUGCAUAAAAAACGCUAGGCAAGCAGUAGGUCCCCAACAUUCUAAAAGCAGCAACAAGCCAAGAUGUAGAUAUCAUGCCUAUAGGAGUUCAAACUCGCCUAAUCUGAAUAAUAAUCUGUCAAACACUUCCAGCAAAACUUGUCCAAAUCUGUUUGCUUUUGAAACCUAGCCAAGUCUUUUUUUUUACACCGUUUUAAAUCUAUGAAGCCUUUUUAAAUUUCAAACUUGCAUCUUUAUUCUGAAAUCAACUCUUUGGUCUUCUGCCUAAAUUUUUACUUUAAUGCUUUUUUCGAAAAAUGCCUCUUUACAAUUUUACUUAAGGAGUUCAGCUAGUUUGCAAGCCAUCGCUGAACUAAUUUGUCCACUAUCAGUUUUAAUCUUAAGAUCAAAUUAGUAAUGGCAAGUCAUGCUAAACUAAUUACUGUAUGACUUAAGGGGUUUUACGUGCAGCCUUUGUAUGUUUAUUUUUUCCCCUUAUGUGCUAUUUGAUUUUGAUUGACGCCUUAGCAUUUUAACCUUUUAAAGUCCAUAUAUGCCCUUAUCCCCUUUCUUCCCUUCUAGGAAUAGAAGUCCAAAUAACCCGGGACUGAUAGGUCGAGACGGGUGCUAGCAUACAAUAAGUAAACAAGACUAAACAUAUACCUUAAUGGGGUAGGAAGGGUAGAAAUAUGGAGAUGAUGACGUUGCACUAAUAUCAUAAGGCGACCCCUCUUUGGGAACAUGUGUGGGAUAUUGCAUCGAAUGACCCAUAUUGUAGUUAAACCUAGGACCCGACUUCUUCACUUUUCCUUUAUUUAAUAUUUUUCUUUAAACUAAAACUCUUUUACUUGUAUAUUUUUUCUUUCAAAAUGGUCAACUUGUUUAUACUUUGAUUGGCUAAUCCUACUCUUCUUAAAGUUACAUCUAAGCAAGGCCGGGAACCACACUAGUAGAUCUUGAGGGGUGCCUAACACCUUCCCCUCGAGAUAAUUUCAAGCCCUUACCCAAACUAUGGUUUUCUUUCGAAUCCUUCUUCCUUUCUCAAAAAGUGUCCUAAUGCACUAUAAUCAUUAGGUGGCGUCUCUUCAGACUCCAUAACCCAAAUCCCCCCAAAAAGGGGAUAAAAGAGUCAUUCCACCCAUAAUGCCGCAAGCCCAAUUCCUCUCCCUUGGGAGGGAAAAAGGGGGAAGAGGGGAUAAAAGAGUCAUUCCUUCCAUAAUGCCGUAAACCUGAUUUCUUUACCUCGAGAGAAAAAGGGGGCAUCGACAGCAUGGCGACUCCGCUGGGGAUUCUUCUAGGUUUUUACCAUUACUUGCUUUAUUGACUUUAUUGCUUACUUAAUCGCAUUUAUUUUCGGUCCUUGAUUAUUUCAUCACAACUACUAACUUGAAUCUUCAUGUCUUUUCUUUCCUUUAGUUACUUUAUUUCGAUACUGUUGUAACUUCAAGCAAAAAUUGUAAUCAUUUAUCUUAUGAACAUAAAAAUACAUGUAAUUUGUUUCAUUAUUGUAAUUGCAUCUCUCAACAUCAUAUUCCACUCGUGCCAAAACAAAUCCUUUAGCAAUGCAUAUAAUGAGUGGUUGCGCUAUUCCAAUAUUAUAAAACCCCCUAAAUGUGGCAAUGGCAUAUUUGCGGUAAAACCAAUCGAUCAACGGUGUAGUCGACGGUUCCGUGACUUUUCCUCUUGAGUUGUCCACUCAAGGGUACCUUGUCUAGCACUUCAAAAGUAGAAACCUUCUUCCCUUGUAACUGCUCAUGUAUCAUGGUCAGCCUAGCCGAGUCAGUUAUGUUGUCUGCAUAAUGACUCGUUAAGACAGCCUAAGCCAAAGUCCAUCGGGUUUCCUGAAACCUAAAUGGACACCUUCACGUUAUGUGCAUUUAUUUGGAGAACUAAAUGCCUUUUGCUAAUUAUUGAUUUAAAUAGUCGAGUCCGGUGGGGUUAAGGGCCUAACACUUUGUUUUGCAGAAAAUGAGGUAUACUGUUCCGUUUCGGGGAUUUGGAAAUGACCCAUUUGCUAGAAGAGAUAGGGGGCCUAGCUGGCAUCCCUUGGGAGACUCUUGGUUUGCUUAUGCAGGAGAAUCGCAAGAGUAGAGGAUUUUCUAAGAUGAUGGGACUCAAGAAAAAUCCCGACCUUUCUUUCUUGAAGGACUCCUACAUACCAUUCGACUUUUUUUUGGUAAUUAAAAUUUAUAUUAAUCACCAAAGUGUUCCCUUACAAUUCCAUAGGUCAUUUAUGUACCGAAACUGGCUAUCAAAAAAUUCAAGUAAAGUUGAUUAACUUGACUAUACCUAAAGUUCAAAAGUUACAAAAAAUACUGUUGAAGGUAUGUCCUAACUCUAGGGGUUGCUCUAACGUUACAAAUGUAAGCAAUCUUCCUAAGUAAUACUUCACUGGGACAGGAAGUGUUUCUAAAUAUUCGCGCAUUCCUUUCCAACCACAGGGCGUAACACAUCUCUGCAAAUACCAUUUUGAACAUGUGAGCUUGUGGAGAUUUGCCUUUGGAUUUCUCAGUGAUCCAGUUUACAUAUUGUGGCCAAGACUGUCCAACAGGUUGAGAUAUUCCAAGCCAUUGCAAUAAGUGAAUCUCAGUUGUUCAGGGAAUGAGCAGGACAGGAACAAAUGAUCUCUAGUCUCCAUUGUGUGUUGACACAUAACACAACUAGCAUCAACUAUCAAGUGCCAUUUGAUCAACCUCUCUUUAUUAGGGAGUCUGUCUUGGAGCAUCAGCCAGAGGUUGAAGAGUGCUUUAGGUCGAGCAGCAUUCUGCAUGGUUAAAUUUCACGGUACUCUAGGUAAUUGACCAAUUUGUUGAAGGUAGAUUAAUCUGACAGAACAUGCAUUGUUAUACAGCAGCUGAUAUUGUAGCAAUAGCCUAGUACUCUCAAUGAUCUUCCGGACCAUCGAACUAGUUUGUUUGGGGAUAUUGAUGUAUUCCAGUUGUUGUUGUUGUUUGAUAUACACUGUGUGGAUCCAUUUUACCCAUAAUAAGUCUUUCUUGUGAGCCAAGUCCCAGGCCAGUUUUACUACAGCAGAUUUAUUCCACAGCAGAAGAUUGAUUAAGUUCAGACCUCCAGCAGACCUUGGCAGACAGAUCUUGUCCCAUGCCACAUAUGCUUUCCUAGUAAUAUUAGCUGAGGCAGACCAUAUAAAGGAUCUACACAUCGCUUCUAUCAAUUUUAUGACCUUUGAAGGAAAGAGAAACAAUUGAGCCCAGUACGAUUGUAUGCCAAAAAUAACUGACUGAACCAACUGCAUUCGACCAGCAUAGGACAAUUGCUUAGCACUCCAGGAUGUAAGCCUGGCAGUGAUCUUGUCGAUCAGUGGUUGCCACUGGAACACAGAUAGUUUUUUGGUAGCUAGUGGGACACCCAAGUAUUUAAAGGGUAGUUCACCACGUACAUAACCAAGAUGAGCAAGGAUUUGUUGUUGCUGUUCAGGUUUUACUCCUCCAAAUUACACAGCACUCUUCUGCAUGUUGGCUUUCAUUUCAGAGGCUGCAGUGAAGUGGAAAAAAUAUGCAAACAAAGUCUUCACAGCUUGGCUUUCUUCUUUAGUGAACAACAAGAGAUCAUCAGCAAAACUUAGAUGAGUAAUUCCAAGCCUUUUACAUCCAGGAUGAAAAGUAAACUCCUUAGCUUUCUUCAGUUAUGCCAGAGAUCGACUUAAGUAUUCCAUCACUAUAGCAAAUAAGAAUGGUGAUAUAGGAUCACUUUGUCUCAAACCUUUGGCUGCUUGGAAGGGUUCUGUAGUUUCCCCAUUAACUAUCAUUGUAUAGCUGACAGUUUGCACACACUCCAUGAUCCAAUUUAUAAAUCUGGUUGGGAAAUCGAGGGCCUCCAUUACUUGUUGUAGGAAGCAUUGACAGUUUGCACACACUCCAUGAUCUAAUUUAUAAAUCUGGUUGGGAAAUCUAGGGCCUCCAUUACUUGUUGUAGGAAGCACCAUUAGACUGAAUCAUAGGCCUUCUGGAGAUCAGUCUUGACCAUACAUCUAGGUGAUAUGUGAGAUCUUGUAUAGUGCUUGACUAGUUCAUGAGCCAAAAUGACAUUAUCUGCAAUUCUUCUCCCUGGAAUGAAGCCUGCUUGCGCAUUGCAUAUGAUACUGGAUAUAACUCUUUGCAAUCUGUUGGCCAGCAACUUGGAAAUAAUUUUGUACAAAACUGAACAACAAGCUAUUGGUCGAAAUUCCUUGACUGUUUGUGGGUUGGGAACUUUAGGAAUCAAAGUAAGGGAGGCACAGUUUGUUGGUCUAUACAUUUUAGUAGUUGCAAAGAAAUUCUGGACUGCUUGCAUUACCUGUUUCCAUGUAGUGUGCCAAGUUUGUUUAAAGAAUAGGGCAUUGAAUUGGACUGCUUGCAUUACCUGUUUCCCUGUAGUGUGCCAAGUUUGUUUAUAGAAUAGGGCAUUGAAACCAUCAAUACCUGAGGCUUUAUCACUACCAAUUGCUUUUAAACUUUCCAAGAUCUCAGUGUCACUGAUGUCUGCAGCCAAUUCCAUUUUCUGUUGAUGAGAUAAUGUAGGACCAUUUGUCAUGUACAGUCUGUUAACAGCUGGGAGGGAAUGAGCUGAUGUACCCAUAAGUGUUUUGUAGAAAGCAUUGAUUUCCUUCUUCAGAUCAUCUGGAUGAGUAAUCCUCAAGCCUCCAUCUGUGAUCAACUCAGUAAUCCUCUUAUACUGGCCAUUCGACUUCUUAUGUGAGAGAUAUGGCCACGGUAAGUCCUAUCGCAUCUACAUGGAUGAAUUCGCCCUCACCGCUUUGGGACAUAUACAUAGAAAGGUGUUUGUGUUCAUAUUUUGCUUCUUGGGCAUGGUAAGUUUCCCUAUGAAGAAGGCUAGGAUCCACACCAGACUAGUCAUGGUUACCAAGACCUUAAUGGAAGGGAUCGACGGGCAGUCCUUCAGCAUAGUACCUAUGAUCCUCGUUGAAAUCUAUCGAGCCUUGGGAAAGUGUCAACAAGGGGCUCCAAAUUUCGAGGGUUGUAAUUUUCUACUUCAACUAUGGCUCAUAGAACACCUUCAGAAAGGCGACUACAGUAGGAAAUCAUACGCAGGGAUUGGGAUUACCAUAUCACUUUUCAUCACCCAAAGCGAAUGAACUUCAUGCCCAACAUGUUCGCUCAGCCAGCUCCAGAAAGGCAACUAUAGACAUGAAAUUAUCCGCAGGGAUUGGGAUGACCAUAUCGCUUUUCAUCACCCAAAGCGAAUGAACUUGAUGCCCAACAUGUUCGCUCAGCCAGUGGACGCUAAUGGAUUGGUAGAGUUGUUCGAGAAUCUAAAAGAAGAGCAAGUUCAGUGGAUGUUUGAGUGGUUCCCAACAUGGGAGUUCAUUGUCCGUUCUUGAGAUGCACCGUUCCUCAUACUCAUUGGCCUGAGGGGAACUCAUCCUUACAUCCCCUUCCGAGUUAUGAGGCAAGCCGGAGGAAACAAAUCAUACCCCGGAUAGAGAAAAUAAGUCAUUUCAGGGCUGACUUUCAAAAUGAUGAUAGCCCGCAUAGGUGUCACGCUCAGCAUAUGUGACAUUACAAGCUCGUUUUAGGAAAAGAGUCUAUUGAGCCAGGCAUGUAUCAUGCCUGGUGUGUGCCGCACUACACUGGUUGGUUAGAAGAUGAUCACAUUGGUUUGGGUCGUGCAGGGUUCGUCCAUGGUCACAUGAUCAUUGACGAGAAAACUGUAGCGCUAGUCAAAUACAAUCAAUUAUGCAAUAGGAUGAGAGAAUGUGAGAACGAACAUCGGGAAAUACAGGAAGCCGACGAGAAGUUAAUCAACGAGUGGAAGGAUAUGGCUGUCAAAGCCAACAACCGUUUAGGGUAUCUGGAGCGAGGUCUAGUGGAGUUGGAAGAGAAGUUCUUAAAAAGGAUUGAAAACUAUCAGAAUGCUGGGGAAAGCACAAGAGGACAUCUGGCUCGAGCCUACCUACUGUUAGGGAUGCACGAGUUGAUGCAGCUAUACGAGGAGGCAAGAAUACCAAAUCUGGGGAAGGUCCUUCUGGGACCAAGUAGUUAGGAUUUUUACUCUUUUGCUUUUCUUAAAUGUAAUAAGGCCGCUGGCCAUUAGUAACGUCUUUAUCAUUUAGUUUGUUUUAGACUCAUUUUGUUUCAUCAAUAAAAUGAGGGAUUUAGCAUUAUAAGUUCUCCAAAUUUUAUUUGUCACCAUGCCUACCUCGGGUAAUACGAGGCACCCAAAUUAGGAAGCAAUUUAUAUUCCCGCAUAAUGUGUUUAAAUAUUGCAAUAUUAUCAAAAUCCACAUUAACUUUUUACUUUUUUUGUUUUUCUUUUAUUUUCAUUCCCUUCCCCAAAGGUUAGUUCAUACAUUCUGGCACCAUCAGCGUACUCCACAAGAUCCAAAUGUCCUCCACCUCAUCCUCCUCAUCCAAGUCCUACCAGAAACAGGAAUAAAGGCAAGCCCAUCAAUCACUCUUGCCGCCCCUGAUGUUAACACCCAAAACCCCGCACCACCACAAAACAUCCCACAACCUCCAAUGCAACCCACUCAUAACACUCCAUUGCACAUUCCUGAACCACAAAACACCACAAAAGACCAUAACAUUCCAAUCUUUGUGGACUCUAUGCCGCAUUACAUUCAGCCUAUCACCAAUACAGUUGAGGUAGAGGACAAGAGCUCCCUCAUUCAGAAUUUGGCCGCUGAGAUCAAGAGUUGACUAGCUGGGUCCAGGGUUUCGAAGGUAACAAAGGUGUUGAAGGGCUUAAUUACGAAGAUCUCUGUGUUCAACCAGAUGUUGAGCUCCCGGAGGGGUACAACCUCCCAAGUUCGAACUAUUCUAUGGCAGAGGUGACUCAGGGUCCACUUGAGAAUGUAUUGUGACAAGUUAGUAGGAGUCGGAAGGGAUAAAAAGAUCCGCAUAAAGUUGUUCAUGAGAAGCUUGAAGGGUGAUACUUUAUCCUGGUAUAUUAGCCAGGAUGUGAAGAAAUGGACUAGUUGGGUAAAAAUGGCAUCUGAAUUUAUGGAUCAGUUUAGGUUCAACACUGAGAAUGCACCAGAUGUGUUCUAUAUCCAGAAUCUCAAGAAGAAGCCCACAGAGACCUUUCGCAAGUAUGCGACUCAUUGGAGGUCAGAAGCUGCUAAGGUCAGGCCGGCCUUGGAGGAAGAACGAAUGAACAGGUUCUUCGUUCGUGCUUAGGAUCCCCAGUACUACGAAAGGCUGAUGCUAAUAGAGGGCCUAAUGUUCUCCGACAUCAUCAAGUUAGGAGAAAAGAUCGAAGAAGGCAUCAAAAUGGUAUGGUCACUAACCUCGAGGCAUUACAAGCCACCAACAAGGCUUUACAGUCUAUUGGCUCGUCGAAGAAAAAGGGUAUAAAUUCUGUAAAGGUUACAUAAAAAACAACAACUCCCCUAUGAAAUACCAGACAUAUCCCUCAGCUCCACUCACAUAUCAGCCUACCCUAAAUUACCAAGCACCACCACCCACUUACCAAAUUGCACCACCUGCUUACCAAUCACAUCCACCAGCUACAUAUCAACCCACUUCACCUAGAUAUUCCCAACCCGCACCCAUAUACCAAGCAUAUAACUCCCAACCUUCUCAUUACCCAUCACCGCCUACCAGCCAAAAUUUCUCUCGACCUAGACCAAGCUUCGGCCGCAAACCUCCUAAAUAAUACACCGCUAUGGCCGAGUCAAUUGACCAAUUAUAUGAAAAACUCAAGCCGUGACUCCAGAAAACCCUUCCUAGUGGAUCAACCUAAACAAGACUUGCGCAUACCAUUCCGGGAUGAAAGGCCAUACCAUCGACGAGUGUUGCUCGUUUAAAGACAAGAUUCAGAAUUUGAUUGACAACAAGAUCAUUAUAGCAAAGGAGUGUGCUCCUAAUGUCCGCAACAACCCUCUGCCUGCCCACAAGGGUGGCAGCAUCCCCAUGAUCGAGAUCGAAGAUGAUUGGGACCUGAUAGCUGAAGGAGACGAGCCUGAGAAGGCAACGAUUACUCUCAAUCCCAUUGUUGUCCAGAUUCAGCCCUCCGAGGGCGAUGUGGUAAAUGUAUCCAUACCACUCGAGUUUGAAGCACCUCCUGCAAAGGCGCCAAAACCAAUUGAGGUUGAGUUCGGGGUUCCUAGGGAACCUACACCGUUUGAAGUUACCGUGUUGCCUCUCAUGGCACCAAUUCCAGUCUCCUUGAUAGACGUAGCCCCGUUUCAAAUAAAUGUUAUACCUUGGGAUUACAUCGCUGAGGCUACAAGGAAGGGAAAGACAUAUACUGGAGAAGCAAUUGAUGCACAAGGUUGAGUUGUGGGUUCCAAAGGCACCUACACUAUUUGAAGUUACUGUGUUACCUCCCAAGGCACCAAUUCUAGUCUCCAUGACAGACGUAACCCCAUUCCAAACAAAUGCUAUACCUUGGGAUUACACCACCGAGGCUAGAAGGAAGGGAAAGAAAUAUGCUGGGGAAGCAAUUGCCGCACAGGGCAUGAUGAGGACACGUAGGGUAUACACCCCGGAGCAUUUGGCUGAGUCUAGCUGGCAGGCCUCUGGGAGGGCUGUUGAAACUGGACCUGAUGGCCUCUGGAGGAAGGUAUAGGCCAAAGAGUACUCGGUCGUCGAGCAACUGAACAAAACACCAGCACAGAUUUCUAUUCUGGCUUUUCUACAAUGCUCUGAGGCACAUAAAAAUGCCUUUAUGAAAAUACUGAGUGAAGCUUAUGUUCCCAGCAACAUAACAGGAGGCGAAAUAGCAAACAUGUAAUGAAAACACUGAGUGAAUCUUAUGUUCCCAGUAAUAUAACAAGAGGCGAAAUAGCAAACAUGGUGGGGCAGGUACUGGAAAGCCAUAAGAUCACCUUCCACGAAGAUGAAUUACCACCAGAAGGGCUUGGUCACAACAAAACGUUGCACAUCACUACGCAAUGUGAAGAUCACUUUAUCACCAGGAUUCUAGUCAACGGGGAUCCAGCCUCAACAUUUGCCCAUUGGUAACUCUCAGGACAUUGGGCAAGGGAUUGCACGAGAUCAAAGACGGGGCUAUAAUUGUCAAAGAUUUUUAUGGAUCUCAGAGGUCGACCAUUGGAUAAAUUAGCUUAGGCCUGCAUAUAGGACCAACUGGUUCGAUGUCGAGUUCCAAGUCAUUGACGUGCCGGCAUCCUACAAUUUGUUGCUAGGACGACCCUGGAUCCACACCGCUGGGGCUGUUGCGUCAACUUUGCAUUAGGUUGUAAAAUAUGAAUGGAACCAUCAGGAAGUAAUCAUCCAUGGCGACUGAAGCAACCCUAUAUAUAGUCGUCAAUCCAUCCCGAUAUCGGAGGUAGAAGGAAAAUCGGUGGAGAAACAUACCAUCACAUUGAGCGAGUCAACGACAAAGACAAAGACGAGUGGUGCGAUAAUAAAAUUGAGAGCAUUCUGAAUUGGAGUGGAUACGAGCCCGGAAAGGGGCUUGACAAGAAUCUCCAGGGUAUCACUAAGCCUAUUCAGUUGAAGAAGCAUGAAACCACUUUUGGCAUGGAUUAUGAAUACACUUGGGAGGAGUUCAAUUACUGGUCGCCACCAUGGGGCAGUCCCUACUACCCACUGGAGCACCCUUUACCUAAGUUAGAGCAGACCUUUCAGCCCGCUGAUGUCAUAUAUGGAUUAGAGGAAGAUGAGAUGCUGGCAACAAUAAAGAACCUGUUUCUGGAGGAUGAUAUGGAUUGCUGUGUUAUCUUCGAGGAGGAAGGGGAGGAAGGCACUUCCAUUCAAGCUGUGAACCGGGGAAAACACCUCACCAAUUGGUCAAUCAAGACCACUAGUGCCGAAGAGCCUCGGGGUAGCAAGGCUAAAUGACGCAUAUGCAUCUCACUUUAUUUUUGGAAAGAUCUCCGAUGUUUCAGCAAUUAUGAAUUUAAUUAAAAGCAUUUUUUUCAAGUUUAUCUUUAUAUUUUUGGCUCUCAUUUAUACUUUAUUUUACAUAGCAUUACUAUUAUAUAUCUUGAUGUUGAACCGACGACUGUAACUUGCAACGAGACAGUGCGACAAACAAACAUAGAUUCAGAAGAUGAUGAAAUACCAGAAGAGGUUGUCUGGGAGGUCGAGAAUUUUGAGAACAUCCCUAAGUCUAACUUGGACGAAACUAAGGUCAUUAAUUUGGGAGAUGCAGAAAAUGUCAAGGAAACACGUAUCAGCGUACACUAUCACCAUUAGAAAAGGAAGAAUACACAGAGUUUCUGAAAGAAUUUGAGGAUAUAUUCGCUUGGUCGUAUGAUGAUAUGACCAGUCUCAGCACAUCCAUUGGGGUUCACAAGCUGCCGACAGAUCCGGCAUGCCCACUGGUCAAACAGAAACUUCGAAAGUUCAAACUAGACAUGAGUUUGAAAAUCAAAGAAAAGGUGACCAAGCAAGUCAAAGCUAGGGUUCUCAGAGUUGUGGAGUAUCCGACAUAGUUAGCCAACGUUGUGCCGGUACCAAAGAAGGAUGGGAAGGUUAGAGUCUGUGUCGACUAUCAGGAUCUCAACCGGGCCAGUCCUAAAGACGACUUCCCUUUGCCAAAUAUACACAUAUUGAUCGACAACUGCACCAAACAUGAGUUGCCGUCAUUCGUCGAUUGUUUUGCUGGAUACCAUUAGAUAUGGAUGGACGAAGAUGAUGUAGAGAAAACUGCAUUCAUCACGCCGUGGGGAAUGUACUGUUACAGAGUGAUGCCAUUCGGUUUCAAGAAUACUGGUGCUACCUACAUGUGGGCCAUGACCACCAUUUUUCACGAUAUGAUACACAAAGCGAUCGAGGUAUAUGUUGACGUCAUCAUUAAAUCAAGGAAAGCUGCAGAUCACAUGGGAGAUUUAAGAAAAUUCUUCAACAGAUUAAGGAGAGACAACUUGAAACUGAACCCCGCCAAGUGCACAUUCGGGGUCCCAGCUGGAAAGUUAUUGGGUUUCAUUGUGAGUUGCCGGAGGAUAGAGUUGGACCCGUCAAUGGUCAAAGCCAUUCAAGAUUUGCCACCGCCAAAGAACAAGAUUGAUGUAAUGAGUUUUCUAGGGAGACUCAACUAUAUCAGCCGAUUCAUAGCUUAUUCCACUGUCAUUUGUUAACCCAUCCUCAAGAUGCUAAAGAAGGAUGUCGCCACUAAAUAAAUCGAGGAGUGUCAAAAGGCUUUUGGCAGAAUCAAGGAAUACUAGUAAACGCUGCCAGUCUUGGUUCCACCUGAGCCAUGGAGACCUUUAUUGCUUUAUCUUGUAGUGUUGGACGGGGCAUUUGGUUGUGUUUUGGGACAACAUGACGAAACAAGAAGAAAGGAGCAGGCCAUCUACUACCUCAGCAAGAAGUUUACCCCCUAAGAGGCUCGGUAUUCCUUAUUAGAGCGCACUUGUUGUGCUUUAACCUGGGUAGCUCAGAAAAACAGGCACUAUUUCCGUGCUUACACCACUCAUCUCAUAUCCAGGAUGGAUCAAUUGAAGUACAUCUUUCAGAAACCCAUGCCUACAAGCAAGCUCGCCAAGUUGCAGAUACUGUUAAGUGAAUUUGACAUCGUUUAUGUUACCAGAAGACGGUCAAAGGACAAGCCAUGGCAGACCACCUCACCGAGAAUCGUGUAGGAGGAGAAUACGAACCCCUAAAGACGUAUUUUCCUGAUGAAGAGAUAACUUUCAUAGGAGAAGACAUUGCAGAAUCCUAUGAUGGGCUGAGGAUGUUUUUUGACGGAGCCGCAAAUUUCAAAGGAGUUGGUAUAGGAGCAGUUUUGGUAUCAAAAAAUGGUCAGCAUUACCCAGUAUCCGCCAAGAUCAUAUUCCCGUGCACCAACAACAUGGCCGAGUACGAAGCCUACAUCUUAGGGCUCAAACUGGCCAUUGACAUGAACAUUCAGGAACUAUUAGUGGUUGGAGACUCGGACCUACUCAUACAUCAGGUUCGAGAAGAAUGGGAAACCAAGAAUUCCAACAUACUCCCCUAUCUACACCAUGUACAUGAGUUAAGGAAAAGAUUCAGAAAGACGGAAUUCCAGUACGUUCCCAGAACACAAAAUGAGUUCGCCGAUGCCUAAGAUACUUUAUCAUCUAUGAUCCAACAUCCGGAUACAAACUUUAUUGAUCCCAUCCAGGUCAAGAUUCACGACCAACCGACUUACUGUGCUCACGUCGAGGAAGAAGCCGGCGGGAAACCUUGGUUCCAUGAUAUAAGGGAAUAUUUGACAACAGGAGAGUACCCAGAGCUUGCCAAUGCCACUCACAAAUGGACACUUCGGAGAUUUUCCAAAAACUUCUUUCACAGUGGAGGAAUCAUGUAUAUGAGGACUCCUGAUUUGGGAUUAUUAAGAUGUGUCAAAGCAAAAGAAGCAACAAACUAUUGGAAGAGGUGCACACAAGGACUUGUGGACCGCAUAUGAAUGGUUUCAUUUUUGCAAAGAAGAUACUCCGAGCAGGGUAUUUUUGGAUGACUAUGCAAAUUAACUGCAUUCAAUACGUACGAAAAUGCCACCGUUGUCAAAUACAUGCAGAUAUGAUAAAGGUGCCUCCAAACGAGCUUACUACAACAAGCUCAUCAUGACUGUUUACCGCUUGGGGAAUGGAUGUCAUUGGACCAAUCGAACCGGCUGCGUCAAAUGGGCACAGGUUCAUCCUAGUGGAAAUUGAUUACUUUGCCAAAUGGGUUAAAACAACAUCAUACAAGGAAGUCACCAAGAAAGUAGUAGUAGAUUUCGUUCGAGAUCGUAUGGUUUGUCGGCUUGGGGUUCCGGAAUCAAUCAUCACCGGCAACGGUUCUAAUCUUAACAGUGACAUGAUAAAGGCGAUGUGCGAAACAUUCAAGAUUAAACACAAGAACUCUACGGCUUUUAGACCUCAAAUGAAUGGAGCUGUAGAAGCGGCCAAUAAGAACAUCAAGAAAAUACUAAGGAAGAUGGUCGAAAAGCACAAACAGUGGCACGAUAAGUUAUCAUUCGCCUUACUAGGUUAUCGUACCACGGUCCGCACAUCAACCGGGGCCACUCACUAUGUGCUGGUUUAUGGUACAGAGGCGGUCAUCCCCGCCGAGGUAGAAAUCCCCUCCUUAAGGGUCANNNNNNNNNNNNNNNNNNNNNNNNNNNNNNNNNNNNNNNNNNNNNNNNNNNNNNNNNNNNNNNNNNNNNNNNNNNNNNNNNNNNNNNNNNNNNNNNNNNNNNNNNNNNNNNNNNNNNNNNNNNNNNNNNNNNNNNNNNNNNNNNNNNNNNNNNNNNNNNNNNNNNNNNNNNNNNNNNNNNNNNNNNNNNNNNNNNNNNNNNNNNNNNNNNNNNNNNNNNNNNNNNNNNNNNNNNNNNNNNNNNNNNNNNNNNNNNNNNNNNNNNNNNNNNNNNNNUGUUAAGAGUCGCUACGAGCAGUUAGCCCUCAUAGAUGGAAAGAGAAUGAAUGCUGUCUGUCACGGUCAAUUAUAUCAGAACAGAAGGUCCAGAGCCUUCAACAAGAGAGUCAAGCCAAGGAAAUUUGCACCAGCACAGCUGGUACUAAAGAAAAUAUUUCCGUAUCAAGUGAAGCCAAAGAGAAAUUCUCUCCCAAUUGGCAGGGUACGUGCAUGGUUCAUCGUGUUCUAUCUGGAAGAGACCUUAUUCUCGUAGAAAUGGACGGAGAAGUCUGGCUGAAGCCUAUCAACUUAGACACAGUGAAAAGAUACUACAUUUGAUCAUAUUCUUUUCUUUUGUGAUGUAAUUUGAACUACGCCCGACCUGAUUCUCGUUUAAGAGGGGAUAUGUGGGAAGCCCUAUGGGUUCAGUCACAUUUUAAUAAAAUUCCAUCUUUCCCCCGUGAUCGGAACUUGGGCAGAAUUUUGAGGAGGACCGUCAAAAUUCCGAAGUCGAUUUGACAGUCUUUUUAUCAGCGCCGACCCAGUAAACUAGGGCAGAAUUUUGAGGAAUCGAUCCGCGUUAAGUUAUUCAGUACAUCUGCUAGCAGGACCAGUCCAGUAAACUGGGGUAGAAUUUUGAGUAGGACCCUCAAAAUUCCGGAACAAGCGAGGUUGCCGUGUCUUAAACCGUGUUGUAGUUGUCGGGUCAUCCAAAAUAAAAUCAUUUAUAUAUACAUAUAUAUAUAUAUAUAUACAUAUAUAUAUAUAUAUACACAUAUAGCAAUAUCAUGUGCUGUUAGUUUACUAUUAGUUGAUAAACUAAUACUCGAUAAAUUUCCUUUCGUUGUUAUUUGAUAGUAUGCCAUUUAGAUAUAUAUAUACAUACUUGCAUUAUAUUUACUUAGUCAUGCAUAUAUAUCAUUUGCACCACCAUCAUUUAGCAACGCUACCCCCAUGAUACACGAUGCCAAGAGCUGGAGGAUACGAACUAAUCUACCCCAUAGAACUCACGAUUUUUCUUUGAUGUAUUUAUUUUUAGUCUUUCCCUUCCACUCUUUUUGUCAUAGCUUUGUAAAAAGAUUUGGGGAAUAUUAGUAAAAGGGUGUGGGAGGGGUUUAUGUUGUUUGCAUAUGUCAAUGGGUAGAAAUCAUGCCUAUAGGAUUUCAAUAUUGCAAAUCAUCUAGAUACUAUGCCUAUAAGACUUUAACAUUGCAAACCACUUAAAAAUCAUGCUUAUAGGACUUUAACAUUAAAAAUCACUUAGAAAUAAUGCCCAUAGGAGUUCAAACUCGUCUAAUCUAAAUAAUAAUAUGUCAAACACUUCCAGCAAAAACUUGUCCAAAUCUAUCUGCUUUUGAAACCUAGCUAAGUCUAUUUUUUACACUGUUCUAAAUCUAUAUAGUCUUUUUAAAUUCCAAACUUGCAUCUUUAUUGUGAAAUCAACUCUUUGGUCUUCUACCUAAAUCUUUACUUUAAUGUUUUUUUGGAAAUAUGCCUCUUUACAGUUUUACUUAAGGAGUUCAGUUUGCAAGUCAUAUCUGAACUUCUGCAAAUUUUAAUUUUCUGUUUUCUAUAACUCUUAUGUAUAGAUCCUUGUCUAAAAUUAGCACUUUCUAAAUUACUGGUUUUAAUAUACCUUAAGUUCUGACAAACUGGAUCCGGUUUGCCUAAUGCAGACUUAUUAUCCAACUCUAUGUGUUAAACUAAUCUGUCCACUGUCAGUUUUAAUCAUAUGACUAAAUCAGUGAUUGCAAGUCAUGCUAAACUAAUUGUUGUAUGAUUUAAGGGGUUUUAUGUGCAGCCUUUGUAUGUUUAUUUAUUCCCCUUAUGUGCUAUUUGUUUUUGAUUGACGAAUUUUUUCCUUUUAAACUCCAUAUAUGCCCUUAUCCCCUUUCUUCCCUUCUAGAAUUAGAAGUCCAAUUACUCCGGGACUGAUAGGUCGGGACGGAUACUAGCAUGCAAUAAGUAAAUGAGACUAAACGCGCUUAAAUACCUUAACGGGGUGGGAAGGGUAGAAUAUGGAGAUGAUGACGAUGCACUAAUAUCAUAAGGCGACCCCUCUUUUGGAACAUGUGCAGGAUAUUGAAUCGAAUGAUCCAUAUUGUAGUUAAAACUAGGACCCCCCUUCUUCACUUUUCCUUUAUUUAAAUAUUUUUCUUGAAACUAAAACUCUUUUACUUGUAUCUUUUUUCUUUCAAAAUGGUCAACUUGUUUAUACUUUGAUUGGCUAAUCCUACUCUUCUUAAAGUUACAUCUAAGCAAGGCCGGAAACCACACUAGUAGACUUGAGGGGUGCCUAACACCUUCCCCUCGAGAUAAUCUUAAGCCUUACCCAAACUCUGGUUUUCCUUCAAAUUCUUCUUCUUUUCU